AGGAAUUGGCGGGGGAGCACUACAACGGGUGGAGCCUGCGGUUCAAUUGGAUUCAACGCCGGAAAGCUUACCGGACUCGACAGCACUAUGAAGGUCAGGCUAAAGACCUUACCGAAUUCGCUGAGAGGAGGUGCAUGGCCGUCGUCAGUUCGUAUCGUGAGACAUCCUGUUAAGUCAGGCAACGAGCAAGACCCGUGCCCACAGUUGCCAGCAUCUUCGCAAGAAGGAUGGGCACACUGUGGGGACCGCCGCUGCUAAAGCGGAGGAAGGAGCGGGCUACGGUAGGUCAGUAUGCCCCGAAUGGUCCGGGCUACACGCGGGCUACAAUGGUUGGGACAAUGGGCACCAACACCGAGAGGUGACGGUAAUCUCCUAAACCCAGCCUUAGUUCGGAUUGAGGGCUGCAACUCGCCCUCAUGAAGCCGGAAUCCG
rnacentral:rRNA from 1 species